UACGAAGGGGGCUAGCGUUGCUCGGAAUCACUGGGACGUAAAGGGUGCGUAGGCGGGUUUUUAAGCAGGGGUGAAAUCCUGGAGCUCAACUCCAGAACUGCCCUUUGAUACUGAAGAUCUUGAGUCCGGGAGAGGUGAGUGGAACUGCGAGUGUAGAGGUGAAAUUCGUAGAUAUUCGGAGGAACACCAGUGGCGAAGGCGGC
rnacentral:rRNA from 1 species